CCUACGGGAGGCAGCAGUGAGGAAUAUUGGUCAAUGGACGAGAGUCUGAACCAGCCAAGUAGCGUGAAGGAUGACUGCCCUAUGGGUUGUAAACUUCUUUUAUAAAGGAAUAAAACGAGGCACGUGUGCCUCUUUGCAUGUACUUUAUGAAUAAGGAUCGGCUAACUCCGUGCUAGCAGCCGCGGUAAUACGGAGGAUCCGAGCGUUAUCCGGAUUUAUUGGGUUUAAGGGGAGCGUAGAUGGGUUGUUAAGUCAGUUGUGAAAGUUUGCGGCUCAACCGUAAAAUUGCAAUUGAUACUGGCAGUCUUGAGUACAGUUGGGGUAGGCGGAAUUCGUGGUGUAGCGGUGGAAUGCUUAGAUAUCACGAAGAACCCCGAUUGCGAAGGCAGCUUACUAAGCUGUGACUGACAUUGAUGCUCGAAAGUGUGGGUAUCAAACAGGAUUAGAUACCCGAGUAGUC
rnacentral:rRNA from 1 species